UACGGAGGAUGCGAGCGUUAUCCGGAUUUAUUGGGUUUAAAGGGUGCGCAGGCGGAUUUUUAAGUCAGCGGUCAAAUCGUGGGGCUCAACCCCAUCCAGCCGUUGAAACUGGGGAUCUAGAGUGUGCGAGAGGUAUGCGGAGUGCGUGGUGUAGCGGUGAAAUGCAUAGAUAUCACGCAGAACCCCGAUUGCGAAGGCAGCAUACCGGUGCACAACUGACGCUCAGGCACGAAAGCGUGGGUAUCGAACAGG
rnacentral:rRNA from 1 species